GAGACACGGCCCAGACUCCUACGGGAGGCAGCAGUGGGGAAUAUUGCACAAUGGGGGAAACCCUGAUGCAGCGACGCCGCGUGAAGGAAGAAGUAUCUCGGUAUGUAAACUUCUAUCAGCAGGGAAGAAAAUGACGGUACCUGAUUAAGAAGCCCCGGCUAACUACGUGCCAGCAGCCGCGGUAAUACGUAGGGGGCAAGCGUUAUCCGGAUUUACUGGGUGUAAAGGGAGCGUAGACGGAAGAGCAAGUCUGAUGUGAAAGGCUGGGGCUUAACCCCAGGACUGCAUUGGAAACUGUUUUUCUAGAGUGCCGGAGAGGUAAGCGGAAUUCCUAGUGUAGCGGUGAAAUGCGUAGAUAUUAGGAGGAACACCAGUGGCGAAGGCGGCUUACUGGACGGUAACUGACGUUGAGGCUCGAAAGCGUGGGGAGCAAACAGGAUUAGAUACCCCGGUAGUCCACGCCGUAAACGAUGAAUACUAGGUGUCGGGUGGCAAAGCCAUUCG
rnacentral:rRNA from 1 species